AUGGCCGACGCGAGUCAAAGUGUAUAGUAUCUCUUCUUAUCAGCUUAAUAUCAGAUACGGGUCGUAUUUUCACCCAAGAUAAUAAACGUAUUUUUGCAAGUUGGCGGAGUACUUGAAGCCUGCUUCACCUCCGCCAUGGGUCGGCCCGGUGUUGCACGGUCUUCGGGAUUUUUGGUCUACGGACA